rnacentral:rRNA from 1 species
UACGUAGGGACCGAGCGUUGUCCGGAAUUACUGGGCGUAAAGGGCGCGUAGGCGGUUCGCUAAGUUGAAUGUGAAAACUCUGGGCUUAACCCAGAGCCUGCAUUCAAUACUGGCGGGCUAGAGUUCUGGAGGGGAUAGCGGAAUUCCUGGUGUAGCGGUGAAAUGCGUAGAUAUCAGGAGGAACACCGGUGGCGAAGGCGGCUAUCUGGACAGAGUCUGACGCUGAGGCGCGAAAGCUAGGGGAGCAAACAGG